rnacentral:rRNA from 1 species
ACGCUGGCGGCAGGCUUAACACAUGCAAGUCGAACGGUAACAGGAAUUAGCUUGCUAAUUUGCUGACGAGUGGCGGACGGGUGAGUAAUGCUUGGGAAUCUGGCUUAUGGAGGGGGAUAACUACGGGAAACUGUAGCUAAUACCACGUAAAAUCUUCGGAUUAAAGGGUGGGACUUUCGAGCCACCUGCCAUAAGAUGAGCCCAAGUGGGAUUAGGUAGUUGGUUAGGUAAAGGCUGACCAAGCCGACGAUCUCUAGCUGGUCUGAGAGGAUGACCUGCCACACUGGAACUGAGACACGGUCCAGACUCCUACGGGAGGCAGCAGUGGGGAAUAUUGCACAAUGGGGGGAACCCUGAUGCAGCCAUGCCGCGUGAAUGAAGAAGGCCUUCGGGUUGUAAAGUUCUUUCGGUGACGAGGAAGGUUGAUAGGUUAAUAGCCUAUCAAAUUGACGUUAAUCACAGAAGAAGCACCGGCUAACUCCGUGCCAGCAGCCGCGGUAAUACGGGGGGUGCGAGCGUUAAUCGGAAUAACUGGGCGUAAAGGGCACGCAGGCGGUGACUUAAGUGAGAUGUGAAAGCCCCGAGCUUAACUUGGGAAUUGCAUUUCAUACUGGGUCGCUAGAGUACUUUAGGGAGGGGUAGAAUUCCACGUGUAGCGGUGAAAUGCGUAGAGAUGUGGAGGAAUACCGAAGGCGAAGGCAGCCCCUUGGGAAUGUACUGACGCUCAUGUGCGAAAGCGUGGGGAGCAAACAGGAUUAGAUACCCUGGUAGUCCACGCUGUAAACGAUGUCGAUUUGGGGAUUGGGCUUUGAGCUUGGUGCCCGUAGCUAACGUGAUAAAUCGACCGCCUGGGGAGUACGGCCGCAAGGUUAAAACUCAAAUGAAUUGACGGGGGCCCGCACAAGCGGUGGAGCAUGUGG